rnacentral:rRNA from 1 species
CAGCAGCCGCGGGAAUACGUAGGUGGCGAGCGUUGUCCGGAAUUAUUGGGCGUAAAGGGAGCGCAGGCGGACAUAUAAGUCCAUCUUAAAAGUGCGGGGCUCAACCCCGUGAGGGGAUGGAAACUGUAUGCCUUGAGUGCAGGAGAGGAAAGCGGAAUUCCCAGUGUAGCGGUGAAAUGCGCAGAUAUUGGGAGGAACACCAGUGGCGAAGGCGGCUUUCUGGACUGCAACUGACGCUGAGGCUCGAAAGCCAGGGGAGCGAACGGGAUUAGAUACCCCAGUAGUCCCUGUCUCUUAUACC